GUUUGCUUAGGCGGAACAUAUACUAAAUUGGAAUGAUACAAAGAAGAUUACCAUGGCCCCUGCACAAGGAUGACAUGCAAAUUCGUGAAGUGUUCCAUAUUUUU
rnacentral:snRNA from 1 species